AACGAACGCUGGCGGCAUGCCUAACACAUGCAAGUCGAACGAGAUCUUCGGGUCUAGUGGCGCACGGGUGCGUAACGCGUGGGAAUCUGCCCUUUGGUUCGGAAUAACAGUUGGAAACGAUUGCUAAUACCGGAUGAUGACGAAAGUCCAAAGAUUUAUCGCCAGAGGAUGAGCCCGCGUAGGAUUAGUUAGGUGGUGGGGUAAAGGCGCACCAAGGCGACGAGCCUUAGCUGGUCUGAGAGGAUGAGCAGCCACACUGGGACUGAGACACGGCGCAGACUCCUGCGGGAGGCAGCAGUGGGGAAUAUUGGACAAUGGGCGAAAGCCUGAUCCAGCAAUGCCGCGUGAGUGAUGAAGGCCUUAGGGUUGUAAAGCUCUUUUACCCGGGAUGAUAAUGACAGUACCGGGAGAAUAAGCUCCGGCUAACUCCGUGCCAGCCGCCGCAGUAA
rnacentral:rRNA from 1 species